AUGGUGACAGGGAUAGACUCAGACAAUCAACAAGAUAAAAAUGUCUGACGAAUCACCUAACAAUAAUGAUAUUCAGUUGAUUUUCAAGAAGUUAAGGGCUAUUCCCACAAAUAAGUCAUGUUUUGACUGCAAUGCCAAGCUACCAACAUGGUCAAGUGUAACGUAUGGAGUUUUUAUCUGCAUCGAUUGUUCUGCUGUCCAUCGUAGUCUUGGUGUUCACCUGACGUUUGUGCGGUCAACGCAGCUCGAUACCAACUGGACAUGGCUUCAGUUGAGACAAAUGCAGUUGGGUGGAAACGCAAAUGCUGAAUCUUUCUUCCGUCAACACAACUGCGUAACCACGGAUGCUCAGCAGAAGUACAAUUCUCGGGCUGCACAGCUUUACCGGGAAAAGUUGCACACCGCAGCUGUUCAUGCCAUGAGAAUACAUGGCACCAAGCUGGAAAUCAGUCCUCGAGAAGUGAGUUUCCUUCUUGGACGAGCAUCGUUGCAUAUAGAGCCUUCCCACGAACAUCAAACUAGCAAAGAAGAAAAGAAGGAAGAAGUCGACUUCUUUGCGGAACAUUCUACGGAAUCACAGUUUAACUACGACAAUCAACAGAAUCUAAAUGUAGACAACCGUAGCACCAAUGGCAAUGUGACGACCGCCAGCAAGCCUAUGCUGCCCCCGGGCGCAGGGCCUAAUGUGGAGGCAGCACUCAGCAACGUCGUGGAACCUCAGGCAGACAGGAAAUCCAUCAUCGGGGGCAGAAAGCCGCCCGCCAAGAAAACAGGAUUGGGAGCCAAGAGAGGUCUGGGAGCGCAGAGGGUAAAAGCUGACUUUUCUGCAAUAGAGAGAGAGGCAGAGCUUGCAGACCAGCUGAAGGCUCAAGAGAAAACACCAGUUGUGCCCGAAAAGUCUCCUGAUGAACAAGAAGCCCAGAUGGUCUCUAUGAGAUUGGCUUACCAGGAUAUUAGCCAGCAGCAGAAGAAAGAAGAGGAAAAAUUAAAAACAACAGACCCAAAAAAAGCUCAACAAGUUGAACGUCUGGGGAUGGGAUUUUCCACAAGAUCGGGAGUUUCACACUCCGCCUUCACAAGCAUCAAGAGGAUCGAGCAAGAGUCUCCUGUCAAGACGUCCAACUCCCGCUACACCAGGGACGAUGAUGACACGGGCUAUGACGAAUUCUUUGAUGCCUUCUCCUCUACCUCUAUGUUAAAAGGAAAUAGAACACCGACAGAGUCUUCAACUGAAUCGUUCUUCGACAACAAGAUGGACGGCUUAUCAGUGUUGGAAUCAAUCUCCAACAGAAACACACCCAAAGGUAGCUCAGGCUGGGGCGAGAGCAGCGGCGGGGGCUGGGGCGAACCGAAGAGUAAAGGUUGGAGAGAAUCGAUAAACGAUGCAGACUGGGAAGAGAAGAAGCCGGCGAAGAAGGAAUGGGAGGAACCCGAGAGAAGACAACCGGCGACGAGGAAUAGUGAGCGAAGUGCGCCGAAAACCACUCCUUCUCCUUCUAGUGGAGAAGCCCAGAAGAAGUUUGGAACGGCCAAGGCGAUCUCGUCAGACCAAUAUUUCGCUGAUUCGGGCGAUACCUCUUGGGAGAGAAAAACGAACCUGUCCCGGUUUGAGGGAUCGUCGAGUAUAUCGUCGGCAGACUACUUCAACCGCACGGAGGUGUUGCCUGGUGGUGGCUACGGUGUGCAGACGCCAGACUUGGAUGAUGUUAAGGAAAGCGUACGUCAAGGUGUGACCAAGGUCGCAGGCAAGCUGAGCUCACUGGCCAACGGAGUCAUGUCAUCCUUCCAGGAUUCAGAUGAAUACUAUUAGUUUCACUUCUAAAAGGCAACUUUAUUAAAAGUGACUUGGAAAACAAUUCCGCAGGAAAAGUACGGAGGCUACUGAAGACCAUCUUCAACACAAUCUUGUAAUGAUUUAACAUCAGUUGAACUCUUUUUGAGUUAUCAUUUGUGUGUUUAAACCGUUUUUGGUUCAUCCUGUUUUGGGUGUGUACAUGUUAAGAAUUACUGAAAUGAAAACCAAUAAUAGACCGUUUGUAAGCACUGACUGAAUUUCCCUAUUUAAAAAAUAUAUAUACAGUGUGUCCCGUAAGUAAACAGCCAAACUCCAGAAAAUGAUUGUAUGGGUAAAAAAAAAACUCAUAGGACCCAUGUUAGAAAAAAAAUGUAUCUUGAUGCAAAUCAAAAUUUCAUAAUUGCCGUCAAUUUAAAAUUUUAUUUGAAUCAAGAUAUAAUUUUUUGUAUGGACCUCUUCUACCUUAAUAUACAUAUAAAUUUUCAUAAAGAUUGGUUGGAACAGUCGUAAUAUAAUCACUUUUUGUGAAAAAUACAAAAUGGCGGAUAUCUGGUUAACCGAACAAAUUUUAUCCUUGAUUUUUUCUUUACCAUAAAACCAUUGCACAUAGUUUGACUUAUGGGACACCCUGUAUAUUCCCGAGGUCGUUAUUUCUAUCACGGUUAGUUGUUGAGUAUCACCUUUGAUUAUUGAAAGAACUAGACAUUCAUUCCCAUGUUAAAGCUGUCACCAGUUUUGAAAUCAAAUUGGCCGUAGUUGAUGUGAGCCACUGACAGUUGUAAACCACUGAUUUCUGUCGCACAUGUAUACUUUUAAAGCAAGUCAAAUUUAUAAGAUGACUUAUUGUAAGUCGUAGCAUCUUACAUGUCACAUUAACUCAGUAACAAAAAAAUAAGAAAUAGAAUGUUAGACACUAGCGAAAUCUGUGACUGGCUCAUACAAAUAUGUUCUUUUUUAAUGAAAAUGGCGACAGCUGGUCCAUAUAGAUGGUAUGUCUACUUCAGUAUAGUACAAAAGUCAAUGAAAGGGUUAUUGUCCCAAGUUUCCUAAAAAAUUGUUUGAAUUUUUGCUUGUUUUGUAAUUAUAUAAAAAAAUCAUAAGUUAUGUCGCAAUAUUGCAAAAAAUUUGAAAAUUAUACUUGAACAUAGGCUACAUUUUAAUUUGGCCAAAUAAAAUUUAACAAAUCCUAUUUUAGGUUAACCAAAAUUUUACUCUUAAGAUUAGCUUUGAUAUCUUCUUUUCUGAUCAGGAUCUAUUCAUUAUAUUCAAAGAUAAUAUUUUAUAAAGUUAAUAUUAUUGUACAUAAUAAACAAUAUGAAAAAUCAAGUUUUUAUUUCAUUAUGAUAGUUUUAUGCCACAAUUUAUAUUUUUACCAGCAUAAUGUUUUUUUACUGAUUUUUCAUUUUCUUUUAAAUAGAAUAACUAGUGUUAUUGGAUAAGUUUUUCCUUAGGCUGCUCAGUAAGGUAAAUUACUUUUUUUCGUGUUGAUUAUUACUGUUUAUACUUAAAAUAUUAAAACGUCGUAUAAAUAUUUUGUUAUAAAAUGUAGUUAUUUCAUAAAAAACAAUGAAAAACUAAGAAUUUUGUUUUGUUUAUAAUUUAUUUAUAAAUACCCCCGCCGCAGCAAACCUGCAGACUAAGCGAAUUUCAACUUGUCUGGUUACAUUUUUACUAAAAUAUUUCUAUAAAUAAGACAUUUAUUCCCAAUUUAAAUAACAUUAGAUUUAACGAGUGCUUAGGCUUGCUGCUACGGGGAAGGUGAAACAUGUUUUUUGACCAUAUGUCAAUAGUAUAAACUUUAUACGCCAAAAUUUAUCAACAUAGGCCUAUAUCUAUAAACAAGUAAACUACAACAGUUUUAAUUUUCUCCAUAAGAAUAACAUGGGAAUUUUAAAUUACACUUUUUUUGGAUUUUCUCCGUGACCGUUAGGCAUACAACAGCGCUUCGAUAUACUAAAUUAUUUCUUUUUUUAAGCUCUACAAAAUGGUUGAGAAAGAAAUCACAAAACUUUUUGUUUUUAUGGUUAAAAAUUGGAAAACCCCAUUUUUGCCUCAUAAAACCCCACAUAAACCCCUGUUCCCAUGGUCCAAUUAUGCUAGUUCGCGAACUCGUUUAAAUAAACGUAGGUACACGUUUGUACCUAAUUUCAUCAAAAUUGGAUCAUUUUUGCUCGAGUUAUCACGCUAACGGACACACACAUAUAUAUAUAUAUAUAUAUAUAUGAAUUUGAACGGAUGGUGUUUUGGCCUCUGGGGACCUCAAAAUGAAAAAGUAAAUCGGUCCCGGGUCCAGGUCUUACCAUGAGUACUACGGUAAUAGCUUAUUCCCUAUAUGGGAAAUUUGCUAAAAAACUUAAAUCAAAAUGUAGAAAAGAAUUAUUAUUUCCUCAAUUUUUUAUUAUUUUUAAUAAAAAUAACUACUUAUUUCAUACAUUCCAGGCUAAGUAUUUUUCAUUAAAAAUCUUAACAAUUAUAUUUAUUUCAGCCAAACUCUGUUUAUUUAUUUAAAAUAUUUAAUUUAUGCCUACUAGUUCAAUUUUAUGUUUUAAGUGUGCCAUAAAUUUCAGAAUUGUUUUCACAAACGAGCAAAUUGUGAUAUGGUCAGGCACAUUAUGUUAAAUCCUCUUUUGUUGGUCAAUUCUUGUUUAUGAGGGACUGGUGUUGGUAACAUAGUGUUUUAAAUACUUUUUUUUUGUUUUUGAUUUAAUCUUCUCAAACCUAUUUCAUUUGUUGUAAUCACUUUUUCAUUCCUGUUAAAUUGUUAUGAAAUUAAAUUCAAAAAAUUUAAAACAUUCUAUAGGGAUAGAAAUGAUUUAAUUUUUCUAUCGAUAAUUAGUUUUCAGUACCUACCUGUAUUUUUUAAAAUAGGAAUGCGGUUAAAAAGAAGCUUAUUUAGAUCAUUUUUAUAUUUAAAUAAAGGGUUAGUUAUUGUUUUAUUGUAAAUAUUUAAGCUUUUGUUUCAUUUUUUAAUAACUUGUUAUUUAAUCCUAUAAUCGUCGUUUUCUUCCGUUCCUAAUUUGGUUCUGAAAACAUGUGAAGUUGUGUAAAAUAUGUAAAAUGUUGAAAAAAAUCUGUUAAGAACAAUAUUGACCCCUGCAUAAUGUAAAAUAGUUGACCAAAAGUUGUGUUUAAAAUAAAAAUGUAUCAAAAA